CCGAUCCCGAAGCCCCCAACUCCUCUGCACUAUGAUUUCGAGUUCGGGAUUCAAUUUCGACGUCUUCUGCAGGGAGAAGCGAGGAGGAGUGACUUUUUCAUUUGGGAUACUUCACUUGCUAGAAGAGAACAUUCGUACAAGAGAGAAUAAAGUUUGGAAGAUGUGGGAUGAAGUAUUGUUGCGCGAGCAUGUAGUUCGUAAAAGGGAAUAUAAAGUAUGAGAGAAAGAGACAACUCUACGAAAUGAAAAGCAAAAAUUAUUGUGUUCAUAAUAGGUUGUUACAUUUAUAAUAGUUUUUGAUUGGUUCGGAUAAACUAUAUGUAAAUAGCAUAUUGUAUGGUACUUCCCCUAUGUUUUGGUUAUGAUGUACAAAAGGGGUAUCUAUAGGUUCAUUAAAUUAACCAUUGUAAUGAAAAGUUAUGUAAUUAACCUUGCAAUUUUUUUGUUU